rnacentral:rRNA from 1 species
CAGCAGCCACGGGAAUACGAAGGGUGCAAGCGUUACCCGGAAUUACUGGGCGUAAAGCGUGCGUAGGUGGUGGUUUAAGUCCGUUGUGAAAGCCCUGGGCUCAACCUGGGAAUUGCAGUGGAUACUGGAUCACUAGAGUGUGGUAGAGGAUAGUGGAAUUUCCGGUGUAGCAGUGAAAUGCGUAGAGAUCGGAAGGAACAUCUGUGGCGAAGGCGACUUACUGGCUCGAUACUGACGCUGAGGCGCGAAAGCGUGGGGAGCAAACAGGAUUAGAGACCCCCGUAGUCCCUGUCUCUUAUAC